CGGCGCCCUCGUCUGGUUGGAUGGGAAACUGCAGUUGCUAAGGGAGCUGGGUUUGAAUCUCUGAGGACAAAUGGGAAUUCUCACUGAUUUCUAGGACUACCCUGGGGCAGGCACCCUGCACAGCAAUACACACUGAACAAUGUCGAGUUUCUGCUGAAUAGACUUCCUACGUUGCUCUGGAAUUCGAAGUUGGCCUAACUGAGGUCUCCAGUUACAGAAAACACUGGCUCUGUAUCCUGGGCUUUGAGAAAACUUGUCAGGCUGUCAUACUUACCAUCCCUUCAGUCUGCUUGUCAGGUUCCUUAAGGACGCAUAUCUCAAAUGUAUGGCAUCUACCUCUACCUGGGUCACAACCAAGUGGGUUUCUACUAGAUUGGUGUUCCUUGACAGCCAACAAGGGAGCUGACACUGCCCUCCUAAGUUCUGAUCUUGCUCCUAUUCAACUGGAACUUGAUGGAUCCCAUGUGGUUUCCCCCAUCCUGACGCUGUGGCUCAGACACUCUCCCUAAGCUGGUCCUUCCCUCCAAAUCCUGCCUUAAACACACUCAGAAGGUAGAAAACACUUCAGCAGCAAAGUCCUCUUCCCAAGCCAACAGUUGUGUUCUUCCAAUCACAUGAUCUUACCUUUUCAAUAAAAGGCAAAACAAACCAAUUUCCAACAUAGCAUUACAGCCUUUAAAACCAUUCAC
rnacentral:lncRNA from 1 species